UGCUUUUUCUCUGUACACCUAAUUGUACAACUAGUCAGUUUGCAGGUUCCUCACCUAUUUAUAUAAAGGCCCUGGUAUUUGCAUGAAUGUGUCUCCUUCAUAAAAUGGUGACAUUCUUGAAGGAAGGAAGUGGAAAUCCUUGGUCCUCUGCACAUAGGCAAGCGUCAAGAGGAAAAUAAUCUGCAAAUGGCAUAAUCAUACGGUGCUCUCUGGGAGGAAGAAGCUGAAUUUUGGAUGGGGCUCCAGCUCGUGGGCAGGAAUUAGUCUGGCAGAAAUAAGCAGGAGCGUGAGUAGAUGCUGCUGAAUGUUGCAAUAGCCAGUUUUGAAGGAACACCUUUGUAGCUGUUUGAGAGGUGUGUGAUCACCACAGGCCUGCACUGCUGUGGGAAGCUGAGAUCUCUCACAACAAAUGCCAUUGAAAAAUGUGUAGUGCUAACACAGCUGCUAAUAAAACUGGUAGGGUGUUGUUGGGAGCAUGAAAAUUGAAGUAGCAGCUGAGGUUGUCAAAUUGGAGACUUACCACUUUUGGACUGAUACAGGUCCCUUCCUAUUGGAAGCUUUCAUAACAUUUAUUUUAACAAAGUUGUGGUUAAAAGAAACAUCACAGUAAUAGUGUUCCUAAGGCUUGCCACAGGAU